UACGUAGGGGGCUAGCGUUGUCCGGAUUUAUUGGGCGUAAAGAGCGUGUAGGCGGCCAGGUAGGUCUGCUGUGAAAACUCGAGGCUCAACCUCGAGACGUCGGCGGAAACCAUCUGGCUAGAGUCCGGAAGAGGAGAGUGGAAUUCCUGGUGUAGCGGUGAAAUGCGCAGAUAUCAGGAAGAACACCCGUGGCGAAGGCGGCUCUCUGGGACGGUACUGACGCUGAGGAGCGAAAGCAUGGGUAGCGAACAGG
rnacentral:rRNA from 1 species